rfam:Jejuia pallidilutea DNA, contig: NODE_5_1/1, strain: JCM 19538.
AACACGCCCCGCGAGAAGGAUUGCAGCGGCAUCCUUUUUAAAAUAAAGUAUAACAUAAGUUUAUGUUUACAGUGUAAUUUUUAAGAUUAUAAUGUUGCUCGCUUUUCGCCAUAACGUUUUAAAAAGAUACAGCGGAAAGCCUGUUUGCCA